rnacentral:misc_RNA from 1 species
AAAUGCGAUAAGUAAUGUGAAUUGCAGAAUUCAGUGAAUCAUCGAAUCUUUGAACGCACAUUGCGCCCCUUGGUAUUCCGAGGGGCAUGCCUGUUCGAGCGUCAUUACAACCCUCAAGCGCUGCUUGGUAUUGGGCUCCGUCCUCACUGCGGACGCGCCUCGAAGACCUCGGCGGUGGCUGUUCGGCCCUCAAGCGUAGUAGAAUACACCUCGCUUUGGAGCGGUCGGCGUCGCCUGCCGGACGAACCUUCUGAACUUUUCUCAAGGUUGACCUCGGAUCAGGUAGGGAUACCCGCUGAACUUAAGC